GACGAACGCUGGCGGCGUGCUUCAUACAUGCAAGUCGAGCGGGGUCCAUCCAGUGGCAACACUGGUGAAGACCUAGCGGCGAACGGGUGAGUAACACGUGAGGAACCUGCCCCAGAGACCGGGAUAACCCUCCGAAAGGAGAGCUAAUACCGGAUGCCCCCACCGGAUCGCAUGGUCUGGUGAGGAAAUGGAUUCCGCUCUGGGAGGGCCUCGCGGCCUAUCAGCUUGUUGGUGAGGUAACGGCUCACCAAGGCGUCGACGGGUAGCUGGUCUGGGAGGCCGGUCAGGCACGCUGGGACUGGGCAACGGCCCAGACUCCUACGGGAGGCAGCAGUAGGGAAUCUUGCGCAAUGGGCGAAAGCCUGACGCAGCAACGCCGCGUGGGGGAUGAAGACUCUCGGGUUGUAAACCCCUUUCAGCAGGGACGAUUAUGACGGUACCUGCAGAAGAAGGACCGGCCAACUACGUGCCAGCCGCCGCGGUAA
rnacentral:rRNA from 1 species